UACGUAGGCAGCAAGCGUUGUUCGGAGUUACUGGGCGUAAAGGGUGCGUAGGUGGCUCUAUAAGUAUGGUGUGAAAUCUCCCGGCUUAACUGGGAGGGUGCGCCGUAGACUGUGGGGCUAGAGUGUGGGAGAGGAAAGUGGAAUUCCUGGUGUAGCGGUGAAAUGCGUAGAUAUCAGGAGGAACACCUGUGGGCGAAAGCGGCUCACUGGACCAUAACUGACGCUGGAUGCACGAAAGCUAGGGGAGCAAACAGG
rnacentral:rRNA from 1 species